UAAAAAUCCUUAGUAAUUAAAGUACUUAGCACAGUAUACCAAGGCCAAGUUUUCAGAUCUGCUGAAAUCCCAAGAACUGAAAUAUCUUCUUGUUCAUCCUGCACAGUAUUGUUGUUAAUUUCAGAUUACCUUGGUGAGAUAUGUGACACCUCAAUUUUUGAAGCUUAUGAUCAACUUCUACUCCUGGUGCUGAAGUUUGCAUGUACACAGAGAAUGAAGUGCCUGCUUCUCCCUCCAGAGGCACAGAGCAGGUUGCACCUGGCUCUCAGUCAACAUUCCAGUGGAAUUGUCACCUUGGAUUGUGUUCCCAUGCACUUAUUACAGGGCAUUAAGGAAGGAGUGUCUGCAGUCUUCUAGAGCAAGCAAGCGGAAAGAGAAGCACAAG